ACUUGAUGAUGUGGACAUUUGGGGAGUAGGUCCCUAAAUCGCUCCCAGGUCUCAAAGAAAAGUUCCCCAUCCAUCUGUGAAAAACUGGUGCUGGCUCUCCAAAACU